rnacentral:lncRNA from 1 species
AGCAAUAUUAUCCAACAUGAUAAUUUCAACCAGUACAUAGGACCACCAUCAACCACAACAUAUAAGCAAUAUUAUCCAACAUGAUAAUUUCAACCAGUACAUAGGACCAUCAUCAACCACGACAUAGUGUUAGAGUACGUACACGUCUACAUUUUAUGAAAGCUAGAAACUUAAAGUCAUCUAUAGCCAACAAUUUUUAAUUGACCCUACUGGUCUACAUCCAGUCUAAAAGUACCGUCGGGGAUGCUAGCUAACAGAGAAGCUUCUUUUUUCAGAAAUAGAACACAUGUCCUGUUUCGAGAAAAUGGAAGUUAACACCACCAAGUAAAUCAAUCUUGAAAAAAUAAUAAAGUUUCGAGAUGACCCUACAUUAUCAAUUUACACAAAUGUAUGUCAUAUCUUUUCUUACAUAUUCAUAUUGGAGAAUAAAGUCAUCCAGGAAUAAACAAAAUGUUCAGAUUAUCAGUUUUCGUUAAUAUGAAACCUUAUGAAUCAUAUUUCCUCAAGUAUGUACGUCUCCCAGCCGCGCGUCAACACCUUUCUCAUGUUCAGUUUCGAAGCUUCGCCAUUCACCACGACACGGCCGAGCCGCCGCCAUCAAUUUCUUUGAAAACUUGGAUAGAUAGAUUAGAUAGAUAUACAGUGCACCAAAAUAGAAUAUAUCCAUAGGAAAAGUAAUGAAUACACCUGAUAUCCCAACUCCCAAGAAACUUUUGUGGUAAAAUAAAACUAACACAUACCAUGGCUAUCCAACAGUACAGAGUAGUCAGUUUAUCUAACAGCAGCAAAAGUGCACAACUUAUCAGUUUAAUACAUGAAAGAAUAUUUAAACUCCAACAAAACAUUUCAUAACCCCUCUUCUAACCCAUUUAGACAAGCUGUACUAAAUCGUACUAUAGCAACAACGACAAGGGAGCAUCAUUCAGCAGUAGCAACACACAUACCGAGGGC